GAGGCAGCAGUAAGGAAUAUUGGUCAAUGGGGGCAACCCUGAACCAGCCACGCCGCGUGAGGGAUGACUGCCCUCUGGGUUGUAAACCUCUUUUAUCAAGGAAGAAUUUAGUUCAUUUAUGGAUUAAUUGACGGUACUUGAUGAAUAAGCACCGGCUAACU
rnacentral:rRNA from 1 species